UACAGAGGUCCCGAGCGUUGUUCGGAUUCAUUGGGCGUAAAGGGUGCGUAGGCGGUCUUCUAAGUUUGAUGUGAAAUCCCGGGGCUCAACCCUGGAAUUGCAUUGAAUACUGGAGGACUAGAGUACUGGAGAGGAAACUGGAAUUUACGGUGUAGCAGUGAAAUGCGUAGAGAUCGUAAGGAAGACCAGUGGCGAAGGCGAGUUUCUGGACAGUAACUGACGCUGAGGCACGAGGGCCAGGGGAGCAAACGGG
rnacentral:rRNA from 1 species